GAUGAACGCUGGCGGCGUGCCUAAUACAUGCAAGUCGAGCGAACAGACGAGGAGCUUGCUCCUCUGACGUUAGCGGCGGACGGGUGAGUAACACGUGGAUAACCUACCUAUAAGACUGGGAUAACUUCGGGAAACCGGAGCUAAUACCGGAUAAUAUAUUGAACCGCAUGGUUCAAUAGUGAAAGACGGUUUUGCUGUCACUUAUAGAUGGAUCCGCGCCGCAUUAGCUAGUUGGUAAGGUAACGGCUUACCAAGGCAACGAUGCGUAGCGGACCUGAGAGGGUGAUCGGCCACACUGGAACUGAGACACGGUCCAGACUCCUACGGGAGGCAGCAGUAGGGAAUCUUCCGCAAUGGGCGAAAGCUUGACGGAGCAACGCCGCGUGAGUGAUGAAGGUCUUCGGAUCGUAAAACUCUGUUAUUAGGGAAGAACAAAUGUGUAAGUAACUAUGCACGUCUUGACGGUACCUAAUCAGAAAGCCACGGCUAACUACGUG
rnacentral:rRNA from 1 species